GGCUUGCUGGUCUAGUGGUAUGAUUCUCGCUUAGGGUGCGAGGUCACGGGUUUGAUUCCCGUGCAAGCCC
rnacentral:tRNA from 1 species